AAUUCAUAAGAAACAAGAGUCAUAAGACUAGGUAUAGUAAUUAUGGGCCACGAAAUCAUGAUCAAAAGUUAUUUAUCUCACAACUGACUCAUUAAAAUGUUUUAAUUAAACUUCCAAAUAACAACCGUUAUCUCUUAUGCACAACCUAUCACUAAUUUAUUUCAAUUUAUUUAGUUCAUACUUUCAUAGGCUGUAAUGCUGUAGCUGUAUAAUAAAACAGAACCUAAUUAUUUUUUUUUUUAUUUUAAUACAAUUUUUAAUUGAUUGAGGCACAAAAAAUGUUCUUUAUUUGGGAAUGAGGAAGAAGAAACGAUUUAAGUAGUUCCUUUUUAACAAAAUGAGUGUGAACGUGAACUUAUUCCAAGCCUUCAACAUACUGGUCUCAUCUGUCCAUAGGAAAUAAAAUGGUGACAAUGUGACAUGUAAGUAGCUCUACAAAGUGGACAGCGGUAGUAUGGCCUGUGCUCAUUCGGAGGCAUUCUUGAAUAGCUAUCAUGACAAGCUCCACAUAGGCCUUGGUGUAAGCAUGGAUACGCUACUACUAUUGGUGGACUGUACAAACAUAUGUAACAUGUUUCCUCUACUAUUGACAAUUACUACUUACUUGUCAAAUCAACACGUUCAAUGUAAAUAACUGAUGGUAUCACAGACUGUUCGUUAGACACAUCUUCAUCUGAAUAAUCUGCAUCAGCAUCGAGAUUAUAAAAAACUAAAGACAAGCGAUUUAUUUAUUAGUAUAUUUUAUUGGAAAUCUUUAUAAGUAAUAUUAUAAUGAAAAAUCAUACGAUCUCGAGGAACGGGCAUUGCUGGUCUACGUGUGGUGCCUGUGGUAAAGCAGUAGCAGGGAGUACAGGAAUAGCUGGAAGUUGCAGUUCCCGAUGCUGAUCAACGGGGAGUGGUAAUAAAGCUAGUGGAGCUUGUGGAAAGACAGCAGCAGGAAGUAUUACAAUAGCUUGGUG